GCCUGGGUGGCUCAGUCGGUUAAGCGUCCGGCUUCAGCUCAGGUCAUGAUCUCACGGCUUGUGGGUUCGAGCCCCACGUCGGGCU
rfam:Felis catus isolate Cinnamon breed Abyssinian chromosome A3, whole genome shotgun sequence.